UGUAGUGUGAGAGUAGUGGUGGUGGCGGUCGGGUGAGGACAGUGAUGCGCAUGAGUGACUGUUGAAAAGCACGGGGUUUGGAAUAUAAGAGGAGGCGGUACCAAGAAUAGCCACUGCUACUGUUAUCAUCACUAAACUACAAGAACAAGGACGAGAAGAACAAGAGCAAGAA